GUAGACGCCGAGGCGGCCCCGGAGGCUGCGCGCGCAGUGAGCAGCCCUGCGCAGACGACCUCCGUCUGACCCGCGCUUUCCUCGGCGCAGGCGCACUCCGAUAGCCAGGAGGCCCAGGUAUAGAGAAUAUCCAGGUAGUGGCUUCAGUUCCACUUCUGGUCUGUAACCAUGUAUCAUGGACGAAGUAGUGGUAAAGGACCCUCUAAUCCCGCGCAGCUUUACCAGCAACCUCCAAGGCUUCUCAUUGUGCAAAUUGCUCUACAUUCCUGGGCUGACAUACGCUCCAACCUCUGUGAGGCUCUGCAGAACUUUUUCUCUCUAGCCUGCAGCUUGAUGGGCCCCAGCCGCAUGUCCCUCUUCAGCUUAUAUGUGGUGCAAAAUCAGCACGAGUGUAUCCUUCCCUUUGUGCAAGUGAAAGGGAAUUUUGCAAGGCUGCAGGCCUGCAUCUCAGAACUCCGCAUGUUGCAGAGAGAAGGCUGUUUCAGACCACAUGGCACUUCUCUGCAGCUGGCAGUACAGGAUGGGCUCCAGCAGUUCAAACAGUACAGCAGACACGUGACCACAGGUACAUCUCUGAGCUAUACUUCCCUGGAGAUUACUGUUCUGACUUCUCAGCCUGGAAAAAAGGUGGUGAGACAAUUGGAGGAAGGACUGAAAGAUACAGACCUAAUCAGGGUCAGGAGACUUCAGGUGGUUGAGAUCACAAAGGGAGUCCUAGAGUAUAUGGACUCAGGAUCCCCUGUUGAAGAGCCUAGCAGCGACGAGAGUUCUAUCCUGGGAACUGACAUUGACCUUCAGACUAUAGACAAUGAUGUUGUCAGCAUGGAGAUUUUCUUUAAAGCCUGGCUACAUUACAGUGGAACGGACCAAGAACAUAUCCAUCUUCUUCUUCCUUCACGGUGUUUCAGCAACAUUUCCAGAGCCAAAGAUGAUUCAAUGUGCCUGAAAUGUGAUCUCCAAGAGCGACUCCUCAGCCCGUCCCUACUCCCUGGCACAGCUGAUGGCUCCUUGAGAAUGGAUGACCCCAAAGGAGACUUCAGCACACUCUACCAGAUGGCCUCCCAGUCAUCAGCCUCUUGUUACAAGCUCCGGGUGAUCAAGGCUCUAAAUUCCAGUGGGAUCUGCGAGUCAUUGACAUAUGGACUGCCCUUCAUCCUUAGACCCACAAGCUGUUGGCAGCUGGACUGGGAUGAGCUGGAGACAAAUCAGCAGCAUUUCCAUGCUUUGUGUCACAGCCUGCUGAAAAGAGAGUGGCUGCUAUUGGCCAAAGGGGAGCCCCUGAGUGGAGGACAUAGCCAGAGAGAGCCUACCAGCACCUUCUAUGUGAUUGUGCCAUCGCGCUCACCCACCCUACUGGUGAAGGCAGUGGCCACACGGGAACUGCUACUGCCGAGCCCUUUCCCCCUGCUGCCUGAGGACCCACCGGAUGACAGCCUUAAGAUUGUGGAGAGCAUGCUGGACAGCCUGGAGCUAGAGCCCACCUACAACCCCUUGCAAGCUCGGAGCCACCUGUACUCAUACCUGAGCAGCACCUUUACCAAGCCUCAGGGCCGGCUCCACCCAAGCUGGGAGAGCCAGGCCCUGAGAAAGCAUCCCUUCAAGGCCGGGCAGUUGCAGACAAGCCGAGUUCGAGUCACAGUAGCCCCCUUGCCUAUGAUCCCAACUCCCAGCAGAGCCCCCAAGAUGCCAGCAGCCAGCAAGCCUUCCUCAGAAGCCUUCUUCUGGCCUUCCAAGGAGGGAGUGGCAGAGGAGAAGGAGGAGGAGUACCUCUCCGGGCUCUAGGUCCCCAGCACCAGAGCCCCGCUGCCCUGCUCAACCAUAUCCAUACUAAGGCUCACACAACGAAUAGUUUUUUUGUGGUCAGACUGGCCUUCUGUCCACUUGAGCCUCUGUGACCUCCAGGUGACUGGGAAACAGAGCCUUCCCCUCCUGUCUUCUGUGCCACUACUGCCCCACUGCUCAGGCCUGGAAGAGACACACCUGAACUUUUUCCUUUUCCAGGCAGGAGCUCAUUUUCAUUUUCUUUUGGAUCAUUUGAUACCACUAACACAGAUGAAGAUUAAAUACCCAAGGGGCACCGAGGGCAAAUGAGAGUUGCAGAUGUUUUAGAGCUCGCCCAGCAUCACAGAGACAGUCUCAAGCCCAAGUGGGCCUCACUGGACCACCGAGGCUCUCAACAAUCACACUGCUCAGCUCACCUCCCUGAGACUCCUUCCUCUUUAUGUGGCCCCCAGUACAUUCUCCUGACCCCUCCACACCAACCCAGCACACCCUGCCACCAUGUCCCAUCUGUGACUAUUCACACACAUAGACCUUUUAAACCCAAGCUGACUUUAAUGAGAAUAAACUUCUUAAAAUCUGUCUCUGGCAAAGAACAAAACAGGGGUGACGAUCCAGGCACAGUCCAGCAUCACCCUGUAGCCUCCAUUCAGCCCCCUCAAACUGUACCAACCCAGACAAAGCCCCCAUUGUCAUAGACCUGGUCCAGCAGCUGUCCAUUCCUUUGGGGAGGAUGACUUGGGGGUGCUGGUCUCUCUCAGGCCCCAUCCUUCACCUCUGCCAUCUGUCCCACUUCCAGGACUUCUUGAGAUUGAUCAUCCUUCCCCUGACUCCCCUGAUCCCUCUGGUCCCCUGGGCUGGCUUACAGGGGACCCUCCAGCCCUCUGGUUCCUGCAGGCUCUAAUACGUUUCUUUGAUCCCCAGUACCACCUCCCUGUGGGGGUCCUAUCAGCAACCCCCGCCUCACCCUACCUCUCACGUGGAGCCUUCUGCCUGGACUCCAGUCCUGUUAGCCCCUGCUCUAGACAGCUCACAGUCCCAGCUUCCUGAGGCACUGCUCUUCUGGACCUGGCUGUACAAGGCAGUGUCUGCGCUGUGGCCCUUGCUGCCAUUGCCCAUUGCAGCUCCAGGUUCAGAGAGGGCUAAGCCCCGGGGCUUAGGACCUGGGAGAGGCUUUGUGCUCCGAGGAGGUGGCACCUCGUAGUCAUCAGUGGCAGGGUUGUAGGGGAGCUCAUAACCCUCCUCCUUCACCCGAGCCUGGCACCACCAUGCAUCCUUGGGCUCCUGAGGCAGAUCAUAAAGGCCCCGGAGAGCAGCUGGGGCCAAGCCCUCAGGUUCAUCAUAGAUGGGGUCCUCUUUGGGGUCCGUCAGCUUGGCCUUCAGCAACUGCUGCU